rnacentral:misc_RNA from 1 species
AAAGUCGUAACAAGGUUUCCGUAGGUGAACCUGCGGAAGGAUCAUUAACAAAUCAGUUAUAUAGCUUCGGCUAUAUAUAUUCACCCUAAGCCUGGGUUUACACCCGGGCUUUGGUUAGGCUAGUGUGCUUCGGCGUACUGGCCACAUAGACGCUUGUAUUGUUUGACAGAUUUUAGUUGAAUCAAAAAAUGACAACUUUUAACAAUGGAUCUCUUGGCUCUU